rnacentral:rRNA from 1 species
AGCGAACGCUGGCGGCAGGCUUAACACAUGCAAGUCGAACGGGCACUUCGGUGCUAGUGGCAGACGGGUGAGUAACACGUGGGAACGUACCUUUCGGUUCGGAAUAAUCCAGGGAAACUUGGACUAAUACCGGAUACGCCCUUCGGGGGAAAGAUUCAUCGCCGAUAGAUCGGCCCGCGUCUGAUUAGCUAGUUGGUGAGGUAAUGGCUCACCAAGGCGACGAUCAGUAGCUGGUCUGAGAGGAUGAUCAGCCACAUUGGGACUGAGACACGGCCCAAACUCCUACGGGAGGCAGCAGUGGGGACUAUUGGACAAUGGGCGCAAGCCUGAUCCAGCCAUGCCGCGUGAGUGAUGAAGGCCUUAGGGUUGUAAAGCUCUUUUGUCCGGGAAGAUAAUGACUGUACCGGAAGAAUAAGCCCCGGCUAACUUCGUG